rnacentral:rRNA from 1 species
GACGAACGCUGGCGGCGUGCUUAACACAUGCAAGUCGAACGGAAAGGCCCUGCUCUUGUGGGGUGCUCGUGUGGCGAACGGGUGAGUAUCACGUGUGUAACCUCUCCCUGUCUUUGGGAUAACUUCUGGAAACUGGGGCUCAUACCCCAUAUGAGCUCCUGCUGCACGGUGUGGGUUGGAAAGUUUCGGCGGUUGGGGAUGGACUCGCGGCUUAUCAGCUUGUUGGUGGGGUAGUGGCUUACCAAGGCUUUGACGGGUAGCCGGCCUGAGAGGGUGACCGGCCACAAUGGGACUGAGAUACGGCCCAGACGCCUACGGGAGGCCGCAGUGGGGAAUAUUGCACAAUGGGCGGAAGCCUGAUGCAGCAACGCCGCGUGCGGGAUGACGGCCUUCGGGUUGUAAACCGCUUUCGCCUGUGACGAAGCGUGAGUGACGGUAAUGGGUAAAGAAGCACCGGCUAACUACGUG